CCUACGGGAGGCAGCAGUGGGGGAUAUUGCACAAUGGGGGGAACCCUGAUGCAGCGACGCCGCGUGGGUGAAGGAGUGCUUCGGCAUGUAAAGCCCUAUCGGCAGGGAAGAAGCAAGACGGUACCUGACUAAGAAGCCCCUGCAAACUACGUGCCAGCAGCCGCGGUAAUACGUAGGGGGCGAGCGUUAUCCGGAUUCACUGGGUGUAAAGGGAGCGUAGACGGCCAUGCAAGCCAGGGGUGAAAGCGCGGGGCCCAACCCCGGGACUGCCGUUGGACCUGUGGGGCUAGAGUGCGGGGGGGGCAGGCGGAAUUCGUGGUGUAGCGGUGAAAUGCGUAGAUAUCAGGAGGAACCCCGGCGGCGAAGGCGGCCUGCUGGACCGCGACUGACGUUGAGGCUCGAAAGCGUGGGGAGCGAACAGGAUUAGAUACCCUAGUAGUC
rnacentral:rRNA from 1 species